AAUCAGAUUUGGGUAGGCGGGCAGAUGAUAAAUUUGGCCUAAGUCCUAACCCAAGUCAAAUCAGAUUUGAAUUUGAAUAGUAAUAAUAAUAAUAUAAGUCGGUUGUGGAAUUACCGAAUUGGAUUGGAUUUGGAGAUAUAUAUCUACUUGGAACCCUAUAAAUUGUGUCGCAUCCUUUUCACUAAAGAAACAUCAACAAAAUCAGUUUCUCUUCGUUUCGAUUCUCGUGUUAAUUCGCUGAUUGAUCCUCUUCCUAAAAUCAUAUUCGAAUUGCUAGAAUCAAUCUGCAUCUCACUCGGUUUCGGUGAUUUUGUUAAUUAAUUUAAACUUUGCAGAAGCAGUAGUCCAAAGAUGAAAAUGGGAGGAGAGGAAUUGAAGGCUCGAAGAGUGGAAGAGUAUCUGAAAAGAAGGAACGAAAGGAUGGUGAAGCGUUACAGAGAAGCCUUGAUUGAAAAAGAAUUAAAGCAGAAGAUCCGGCGGCUUUUGAUUACGGAGCUCACAAGCAUUGCUGAUGAUGAUGAUGAUGAAGAAUCUCAUCAUCAUCAUCACAAGUAUUAACAGCUCUCUGGCGAUUUCAGAUUGGUUUGAUUUUCUAUGUAACCAGAUAGAUCUGCCUACCUUGUGUUUCUUCUACAUCUGCUUUGUUUUGACGCAUCUAUGAUAUUUGUCUACUUGUUCGUGGCAUGUGUUUGAUUUUUAUUUUUUUUUCGUAUUCUGCAAUUUAGUGUCUGCUAUUCUUUCCGUUGCUCGUGGCUAAUUAUUGUCCUCAAUGUAUCUCUGUAUCUUAUGUGAAUUUUAUUCCGUUGCUCGUGGCUAAUUAUUGUCCUCAAUGUAUCUCUGUAUCUUAUGUGAAUUUUAUUACUAAUUAGGUGAUCUUCAACAUUUUUACAAAUUACAAGAAUUUAAGUUAUACAACAAAUACUCAUCCCGAUGAUGCUAUAUGUGUAACCUUAACAUGUAUAAUAUGAAAACAUUCAUCAUGCGUUACAUUAAGCUAGUAUAUUAAACCUUAGAGCAUCUCCAGCAGCUUCCCUACAUGGUGUCCUAAGCUAUUAAUAUAAGGAAUAUGACAUAAAACACAACUCCAGCAGAGUCCUAGCCAUCCCUUAAAAAGUUAGGAUGCCCACUUCAUUCCUCAUUUUUAAGGAUUGUGGAACCAUUCCUCAUACUAUUUUAAAUAAUAAAAUAUUCACUUCUCUCCUUUUUCUUCCUCUUUCCCUCCUUUCUCUCUCCUACUUACAAGUUGAAUAUAAUAUUAUAAUAAUGAUAGGGAAUAGAAAUAGGGAAUGUUGUUGGAGUUCCCAUUCAAUAAAAUGUAGUAAUCCCUUAAAAAUUGAAUAUUUUAUUAUAUAUUUAGGGAACAUGUUAAGACUCUGCUGGAGAUGCUCUUACAACUUUGUAUUCGCCUAUGAAAUUCGAUUCUCAAGGUAAUGUAGCAAUUAAGAGAGCACUUAGCUAGCUGUCCUUCAGACGAUUGAAUCAGGUCCUUGUAGCUAUACGAUGAUGCAUCUCCUGAAGAUCACAUUACAUAUCGAGUUUAGAUUCUACAAUAACAUCAAUCUAUAUUCAUCUCAGAAUUGUAAAAGACAAACCUAAUGCAUUUGUUAAUAACUUCUGCUAAUGCUCAAAAAAAUAAACACCAGCAACUGCACUUGCCAUGAUAUAUUUCGGAGAAGCUAAUACAAAGAAUCACAAAUGAUUGGCUUAUCCUAUUUAUCAUACUUCAUCGGGAAAAUUAUAGCUAGUUUAGUAAAUUGUACAAGUUUUAAGACACAUUACAGUAUUAUGAAUAAAACUAAAAUAACGUACAUAAGAACGCAGUCUAAAAUAAAUUAAAGGGUAAAAACAGGAAAAAGGGAAGUGCAUAACUUCCUCAAUUCUUCUUUAUUAACUUGUCGAGGAAUAAGGACACUGCUGAUGCGAGAAAACAAGGGGAUAAAGAUGCCCAGUACUUUUCUAGACAGUAGACGACUAGAUGCAUACAUAUCUUGACUAUACAAUACAUGAUUAUAUAGGAUAAUACGGCUAACAAUAGACAUGGGAUAUAUAGAAACCUUGUCUUCAAGGAAUGUGGGUGGCAUCUCCUCAUUGCAAGGAGGAACUGGAAAAAUUUCUUGUAGGGAUGUAGGUGACAUCUCUUCAUUGCAAUAAGGAAUGGUAAAGCCUCACACCCAAAUUGCAGCGUCCUGCGCCUUUUUGCUUGUGAAGAGUCCAUCAUGGACUCCUUCCUUCCCUCUGUAUUAUCUGCAAAUAUCCUCUUAGAACUAGAUAUGUCUCCUGCAAAUUCUAUGUAACCAGAUGCCUACCUUGUGUUUCUACAUCUGCUUUUAAUUUACAUAUAUAUAUUUAUGACCGGGUUGUAAGUUUUAACGUAUCUAUGAUAUUUGUCUACUUUUUCGUGGAUCCGUGGCAUAUGUUUAGUAUAUAUUUUAAUUUUCGUAUUCUGCAAUUUAAUGUCUGCUAUUCUUCCAGUUGCCCUGUCCUCUUGCUAAUUGUUGUCCACAAUGUAUCGCUGUAACUCUGUAUCUUACAUGAAUUUUAUUACUAAAAGUUGAUUUUCAACUUUGAAUUGAAAUUAUACAGAUACUGCUCCUGAUGCUUAAUGUGUAACGUUAUCAUGUAUGAUAUUGAAACAUUCACGAUCAUUACAUUAAGCUGGUAUAUAAAACCAUAUUGCCAGAUCUCUGAUCUAUAUUGAUUUUCUAAAUUUAUGCAAUUCUAAAUGAUUUUGUAUUUUGUAGAAGGAUCUUAAUUAAUUUAGCAGGUGACUCGGGUAUAUUCACAUGAGUCAUAUGUCUAUUCUGGACAUGGUGAUAGCUUGCUUGUAUAGUUGUAUGUGCCCGUGGUGUUUAUUGGUGUAAUUAGAUUAGUCAUACAAUUCGGGUCAGUAUAUGCAGAGAAAAUGGCAAGCGUGUGGGAUAUACUGUGAAGGAUAGUGACUCUGAAGCAGACGGUAUUUAUACUUUGAUUUUUAUUUUCUUUUUUGUUUUCUUUUUCCCCCUGUAACCCUUCUCUCAGUUUGUACCUAUUUUCAUCUACACUGGUAGUAGGUGAUGAAUAUUGGGGCUCGAGGGUUUAAACUGAGACCAAUGUGUUUAGUGGGCUUUAUCUGUAUAUCAUGAAUUUUCAUAUAAUUUAGUAGAUACGCACUUGUCCCAAUGGAUGGAUUGAUAAAUGUAUUUUGGGGAAUUUUGCCUUUAGCAAAAUGUUAUGUUCUGGGUGCUGUUGUGCCUUAAUGUUAUGACUUUUUUCAGCUUAUAAUGGAAUGGGAUACUUGUAUGUAAAAGGUUAUGGAGCGGAGAAGAAGAACUUUACCAAAAUCAUAGAGAAAGAACUGCAAGGGGAGGAAUAAAGGCGUUGUAGGGCUUGUGUUGGCGAGGCAGAGGAAGAGACAUGUGUCGAGAGAAUGGAACCCUAUGCAUGGAUUUAAACUUCUGAUGGUUCUAUACAAGAAGUGGAACGAGAGAUUGCAAUGUUAUGCCCCACUGCUGUUCAUGAAAUGGCAUCAGGACUUGGAUCGUCAAAGAGCAAUCCUAUAUCACUACCUGCACGAGUUAAACCUACUUCUUUGAGCUUAGUUAUUGAAUACUGCAGAUUUCAUCUAGCACACCGCUCUUACCAGGACCAAGAUACAAAAAUCUGCAAGAUCAUACUCAAGAUGUCUAUAGUGACAAAGUUACGCUGUAUCACUCUGGAUGUUACUGGCACAUUAAUAGCUUACAAGGGGGAGCUUGGUGAAUACUAUUGCAUGGCAGUCAAAUCUGCAGACUUCCGUGUCCAAACUACAAGCGUGUGCAUGAGGGCUGUAAAAUUGCAUACACAAACACGGCAAAAGAACAUCCCAGUUUUGGGUUUGCAGAGAAAAUUCCCAACAUUGUGUGGUGGAAAACUUGUGUUAGAGACUCUUUUGUAAAGGUAAUUAUUUCGCCUUAUUUUCUAGAUCUUCUUGCAUGUUAGAUCUUUAAAAGCUAUACAUGUGUGGUAUUAUUUCCUCCUCGCUAAGCUAAAUCGCCAGAUGUUUACUAAUACUCUGGCUUUUCAUGAAAGAGCAACACCUAAGAUUGUUGCAUUGCAAUUCAAGUAAAAUUUAACAGCAUAAGAAAAAAGAAAAAUGUAGUAUUCUCAGUCACAUUUAUGAAUCACUGAAAAAUGAUAGAUCUUACCGCUAAGUCAAUAACCCUUAGGUAAAUUUAAAUUGGUGUGUGUGUGUGUGUGUGAGUAUAUUCUCAGGGUGCAGGCCAUACAGCUCCAGAAUGUUAUGCAGCUAUGUUUGAGAGAUAGAUAACUUUCAGUUAACAAUCUGAGCUAUAUGUGCUUGGUACCAACUGGCGCAGGCUUGUCAUAUAUGUUCGGAUGCUGCAACGAGGAGCUUGUUGCCAUUUCUAAUUAAGUAUAUUUAUUCAGAAUUAGUUUUGUUACAAAAGAUAUAAACCUUUGGUAGAUGGUAGUAUUAAAGGACGAUGACAUCUUUAAUUUACUAAUAUCUUUUCAAUUUAAGCAUCAGUUUUUGUUUGAUAUUUUUUCCCUUAGGUAAAAUAUUCAAUGUGUGUGUGAGAAUUUGGCCAAUGGAAGAUUUUUGAGAAAUGAACCAAGAUUUAUAAUAUUUUUAAAGCCCGAGUCAUAUAUUAUAUUUUCAGGCAGAUAUGAUUAUGAUGAGGAGAUAUUUGAUAAAGUUUCAAACGCAUAUACUCCACCUUUGGCUCUGUUUCUCCUUAUACUAUGUUUUCAGAUUCCAAGCCUUUCCUAAGAUGGGCCAAGGGCGAACAACCACUUACUGUUUCCUCAUUAUUUGUUCACAAAUAAGGGAUGAAAGUCAUUGUAGCUUUAUGGGAGAGCAAGGCAACCACCUUCCUCGACUUAUUGCCAAAGGAAGGAAAUGAGCCUGUUUUUGUGGUUAUAACUGGCUUAAUGGCCAAAAAAUACUCAGAUAAAAUGUCAAAGGAAUUACUUCGACAAAUGAGGGUAAAGAACACCAUCAAUGAGGCUGAAUUCAACUCAGAUGAAAAUCUUUUCUUCGACCUCUUUAUCAAAGCAAAUUACGGAAAUGAUGCGCCCGACUGUGAGGUGCUGGAUAUGGAGAAAAAUUGGAUCAACGGAGAACCAGAGGUACUCCUGGGACGGGAAGUGCCCAUCAGAGGAAUGGAAAAAUGAGAAAUGUGGUGAAUUAGAUGAAAAUAGACAAGAAGUAGCAUUAGAUUUCGAGCGUGAGAUUUUCACUUCUUUGGUGAAUGAUCUCAUUGUCAGUUUUUGAAGAAAUGGUUUAGCUAUACAUUUUUUCUCGAAACCGAAUAAUUAUUUGCGUGCUUGAAAAGUGUCGCAUGAAUCUGAGUUAUUUGCUUUUACACUAAUGAUAUAUGAUUUUAUGAUGA